UACGGAGGGUGCAAGCGUUGCUCGGAAUUAUUGGGCGUAAAGGGCAGGUAGGUGGUCUCAUUUGUCUGGGGUGAAAUCCUUGAGCUUAACUCAAGAAGUGCCUCAGAAACGGUGAGACUGGAGUUCUGGAGAGGGUCGUGGAAUUCCCGGUGUAGCGGUGAAAUGCGUAGAGAUCGGGAGGAACACCUGAGGCGAAGGCGGGCUACUGGGCCGAUACUGACGCUGAUGCGCGAAAGCCAGGGGAGCGAACGGG
rnacentral:rRNA from 1 species